AACCCACGCCAGCAUGAGCCAUGUAUGUGGCAAGGCCUCAUCUGAGAAGACAUUCUGUAUUUUCAGCAAGCAGCCAAAACCCACCGAUAAAAGGUGUUGCUCCGUGACCACACUGGUGGCGCCGGCUAAAUAUUUCAACCACUGUAAAAACGCCAAUGAGCAGCUGAAAGUGAAACGUUUAAAGACUCGCAAGGAGCGGAGCCAGAUGAGAGGCGACUGGAAAGAGACCUCAAGGACCAAAUCUCAUCAUCACUGCCACUGCAAAAGCUGGAAAGAAAAUGCAUUUUUACAGAAUUUCUGUCACAAUGGAGUUCAUCAGACUUCCAGGAGAAGUACAACAAUUUCAAGUGUUGUUCCUGCUGCACAGGAGCCCAGUGUCAUCACAGAGAGUCGCCUGACCGGGCCCCACCGCCUGUUCAACCACGAAGUGAAGUCCAUUGAUAUUGAACGCUUACUAAGCGAGCGAAGCAAACAUGAGAAAAAGGAAGAACAGGUGACAGAAGAGAGCAACAACUCCUCAGCUUCUCACAUCCCAGUUCUGCUCUCCGGUGACGCCGUGGCAGCUCGCGAAAAAGCCGAAUCUGAGGCAAAUACUCGAGAUAAUCCCCAAGAAACAGAAGACAGAAACCCCCAGCAGUCAGACAUCACCCCAGGACAAAGACUGCAGCAGCAAGCUGUUUCAUCCGGAAGUUGUAAAAGCAUCAGCUCGUCUAAACUCUGCCCUGCAAGUGCAGAAACAAAAACGAAGAGGAGAAAAACGUGUGUCAGUCCUCCGGCUGACGGAGAACACGUGAAGACAUCAAACAAUAGCGUAACUAGACGUGUGCUUUCUGAUGUUGAGGAGCCUCGUGAGAAAAAGAGCCACCAGAAUCAAGCAGAUGGUCUCAAAUCAAGCCCACCUCUCCCCUCCAGCUCGCCCACUUCUGGGAGUGCUGACACAAAGCCCAAAGAGCACGAUCCUAAAUAUGUAGACAAGCUCGUCACUGCAGUGGCGGCACGUUUGUGUGGGUCUCUGUGUCUUUUUAGAGACGAGAGACACGAUCUGUUGUCAAAAAGGAGGAGCGAGUUGCAGAAAGCCCUCCUGAGCCGGCAUGGACCCAGGCUUCAGGCAAACCUCCUGGAGAUUCAGAAAUGUGAUACCAAUCCCUCACAGACUGCUUUGGACCCUGUGAUGAAACAAGACGAACGUCUGCCUACAGAGGAAAGAACAGGAAGUGGACCUUUUAGCUGGGACGCCAGUCCACAGCUACAUAUGCAGCAGACUGCCGAGGAGUCAAACCCAGAGGACACAUCACUUAAUUUCUUGGAUAAAAUCAUCAGACCUUGCUCCUCUCAUCCCUUCAACUUGAACUGUGAGCCAUCUUGGACUACAGCAAAUGACGUUUUUGUGAGUUCUUCCAACUUAUUUCAAGAAGAUAAAUCCUUCUGGAAGUCCUGGGAAGAGUUCGGGCCUGAAGAAGAACAAUCGGCUCCAUUUGAAUCAUUUUCAAGCAGCUUUAUGACCCAGGAUGCUACAGACAUAAGCUGCAGACAGCAGCAGCAUCGUACCAACAAUCAGCCAUUUUUUCUUCAACAAGACAGACAUCCUGAAGAUCUCAUACAAUCCCCGCAGGAAGAAGACCCAUUUGAGCCUCGCCAGUUCUCAUUUCCUCACUCCUUCUCCAACCAAAUUCAGCACCACCCUCAGCCGUUUGACCGACUUUCAACUCACCCAGCAUCUUACAUGAUGCGUUACCCCCCAUCCCACAUGCUUGAGCUGAGUCCAGCACCUGCCCCCUCUGUUUUACCAAGCCCGGAGCACUGGUCCUUCCCUCCCAUGCGGCUGUACUAA
ensembl:lncRNA